GAUGAACGCUGGCGGCGUGCCUAAUACAUGCAAGUAGAACGCUGAAGGAGGAGCUUGCUCUUCUGGAUGAGUUGCGAACGGGUGAGUAACGCGUAGGUAACCUGCCUGGUAGCGGGGGAUAACUAUUGGAAACGAUAGCUAAUACCGCAUGACAACAGUUAUUGCAUGAUAACUGUUUAAAAGGGGCAACUGCUCCACUACCAGAUGGACCUGCGUUGUAUUAGCUAGUUGGUGAGGUAACGGCUCACCAAGGCGACGAUACAUAGCCGACCUGAGAGGGGGAGCGGCCACACUGGGACUGAGACACGGCCCAGACUCCUACGGGAGGCAGCAGUAGGGGAUCUUCGGCAAUGGACGGAAGUCUGACCGAGCAACGCCGCGUGAGUGAAGAAGGUUGUCGGAUCGUAAAGCUCUGUUGUAAGAGAAGAACGAGUGUGAGAGUGGAAAGUUCACACUGUGACGGUAUCUUACCAGAAAGGGACGGCUAACUACGUG
rnacentral:rRNA from 1 species